rnacentral:rRNA from 1 species
GAUGAACGCUGGCGGCGUGCCUAAUACAUGCAAGUCGAGCGAACAGACGAGGAGCUUGCUCCUCUGAUGUUAGCGGCGGACGGGUGAGUAACACGUGGAUAACCUACCUAUAAGACUGGGAUAACUUCGGGAAACCGGAGCUACUACCGGAUAACAUGUUGAACCGCUUGGUUCAACGGUGAAUGACGGCUUUCCUGUAACUAUUAGCUGAUUCCGGGCCGCAUUAGCUAGUUGGUAAGGUAACGGCUUACCAAGGCAACGAUGCGUAGCCGACCUGAGAGGGUGAUCGGCCACACUGGAACUGAGACACGGUCCAGACUCCUACGGGAGGCAGCAGUAGGGAAUCUUCCGCAAUGGGCGAAAGCCUGACGGAGCAACGCCGCGUGAGUGAAGAAGGUCUUCGGAUCGUAAAACUCUGUUAUUAGGGAAGAACAAAUGUGUAAGUAACUAUGCACGUCUUGACGGUACCUAAUCAGAAAGCCACGGCUAACUACGUG